AGUUCCUGUUUGUCCACAUCCUCUCCAGUACUUGUCCUUUGUCGAUUUGUUGAUGACAGCCAUUCUGACAGGUGUGAGAUCAUACCUCA